GACGAACGCUGGCGGCGUGCCUAACACAUGCCAGUAGAACGCUGAAGGAGGAGCUUGCUUCUCUGGAUGAGUUGCGAACGGGUGAGUAACGCGUAGGCAACCUGCCUGGUAGCGGGGGAUAACUAUUGGAAACGAUAGCUAAUACCGCAUAAGAGAAGAUGUUGCAUGACAUUUGCUUAAAAGGUGCAAUUGCCUCACUACCAGAUGGCCCUGCGUUGUAUUAGCUAGUUGGUGGGGUAACGGCUUACCAAGGCGACGAUACAUAGCCGACCUGAGAGGGUGAUCGGGCACACUGGGACUGGGGCACGGCCCAGACUCCUGCGGGAGGCAGCAGUAGGGGAACAUCGGCAAUGGACGGAAGGCUGACCGAGCAACGCCGCGUGAGUGAAGGAGGUUUUCGGGUCGUAAAGCUCUGUUGUAUGAGAAGAACGAGUGUGAGAGUGGAAAGUUCACACUGUGACGGUAUCUUACCAGAAAGGGACGGCUAACUACGUG
rnacentral:rRNA from 1 species